UAAGACGAAAUGAGAGACAGUGUUGGUGGAAGAAGAGAACUUAAGGCCAGAAGAAUUAAGAAAAAGAAGAGAAGUACAGGAGAUAUCAUUAAAUUAUAUAGUUCUCUCUUCGACUGUAGCCUUAUAACAGGGACAUUAAUAGAAUUAACAGGUGGAAUCUAAUUGUCUCCCUUGGAAUCUGGGAUGGCUGUCCUACUUAUUUGACCAACAGAAUUUGUCAGAAGGGACUUUCUGUAACUUCUGAAGCUGUCUCAUAAGAAGCCUUGCAGAUUCUGCUCAUGUCUCUUUCCUCUCUGGGAAACAAGUCGCGACUCAGGGAUAAGCCUGAGACACAUGGAGAGAACAUCCUGAUCAAUCUGGUCUUUGCUGCUACCCUGGUCAACAGCCUGAGCUGGAUACCUGGCUGACAAGUACCACCUUUUUCCUACACAGAUGACAACCCAGCCCAUGAGCACCAGGAAAAUUAAACAAAAAGCCGAAAGAAAAAAGAAAAGAAGAAGUCUGGGAGUGAAGUUAUAUGCUUAAAGGCAUGCAUCUAGCAAAUGGCAAAAAAAAUGGAUGAAGACACAAGACUGAUUGUCACUAAAAACCAUGUGGUAUGUUUGAGCAAGGGUCAUAGCUCAGCUAUCCAGGUGGCUUUGGUUUUGUGGCUCCACUUUCUCAACAUGAAACUCCAAUAGAGGAAGAAGGAAACAUGUGACCUGGAGAGUUGAAGUGGGUAUUGGAGACUGCUGCAUCAGCAGGGAAAUGCUUUAUAUCCUCAAAUGACAUGUGCUUCUCCUGACAGCUCAUUGACCAGAAUUAGCAACAUGGCCCUUCCUAACUAGAAGGGACCAGAAUGGAUAGUCCUUCUAUGUGUCCAGAAGGAGAGAAGGACCAGAUAUGUGUGAUCAUGUCUCCAUUAUGGGAGAAAAGAGAAUUGAAAAAGAAAGAAGAUCCACAUAGUGUCUGAGGAGCUGAGACAAAAGAAAAGUAAGUCAUCUCAUUGAGUCUCAGUUUCUUCAUCUCUCAAAGAAAGAUGAACAUACCCACUGCACUAAGGGUGUCAUGAAGAUUACAUUAGAAAAAUGCACAUGAUAUCUUUAAAUCUCUUUGCCAAUAGCAAGACAUUUUUAAAAAUGAAAUACUGUUUUAUGAUUGGUGGUUGUUUUACUAUGAAACCAUAAAAUGCUAGAUUUCAUGGGGGUAUACAAGACUUUCUCUGGUAUAGCCUUCCCUUUGGUACGAAAUUUUUUUUCCUAUUUUUUUAAAGCAACCCUAUUAGCUGAAGGUACAAGAAUUUUCAUUACAGAAGAUCCUAAAUGAGAGCAAUGAUCAGAAUUAGCUGGAAAGCCACACACAUGCACAACCUGAUUCAGAAGGAUCAGAGAAGGUUAUUUGCCCCCUUGCAGAUCUAGGGGGCCUGGGGCUUUUACAUGAGCCCCAAAGGAUGCACCAGAUAGAAAAUUGGCAGGAUGACUGGAAAUUUUCAAAAUGCACAGGUCAGUUGCAAAUAAUCUGAUGCUGUUUUUGGGAAACUGCAGGCUAAAAAUAGCCAUGGUUUUCCUGGAUGAGGCAUUAGUUUGAUGUUGGCCUUUGUAACCUGUAUGUUUUUGCCAUCUCUGCUCAGUUCCAAUCAUUUUUACUUCCUUUCACUUUGUGUACCUAUAAGAUUCAGAGUUGUAUUAGAAACAUUCAUACUUUCUUUCAUUGAUAUAUUUAUUCACAUAUCAUUUAUUCACUCAUUCAUUUAUCCAUAUAUCCUUUGCUUUCUUUCCAUGACUUCAUCAAGUUUCUUAUUUAGAGUAUAAACAUUUAUUGAUCACUUUGUUUUCUCUGGGCACUGUAUUAGGCACCAGAGAUUCUAAAGGUGGGGGGAAACAAACUAAACAACAACAACAGCAACAACAACAACAAAUCCUCACAAAAUAACAUGUGCAAUGUCGUGGGGGUGCAGACAAGCACUCAUAAUUACAACAAAUAAUGCAGAGUGCAGUAGGAGUUCAGAAUUUCAACUAGCUUGAGAGUAGAGUGGUACAAGAAGGUUUCUUAGAGGAAGUGGCAGUUGAAGUAAUUCCUGAAGGUAUUGUUCAAGUGGGGAGGGUGGGAAGGGCAUCCUAGGUAAAAGGAACAACAUUUAUGUUGUAAUGAAGCCAAGUUGAAAAGAAAGCCACGUGCAGGCAAGCAAAGCAUGUUUGCCAGAUCUGCAGUUAUUCUAGGAGGCUCUUGUUUAAUGUGUGCCUGAUAUUGUGGAUUUAAUCACUACCUCACAAAUUAUUCUUCAAGAUUCAACUUGAUCAUUUAAACACAGACUCUAACAGAGUUUCUGACUCACACUAGGCACUAGAAAAAUCUUAUUUCUGAACUCUUUGCUGUUGCGUUUUCCCCCUUACCAGUCCCACAGUGCCUUGCAGAAAGUAGCCAUUCAAUGAAGUUACCUCCAAUUUAAUCCUAUCCCUCUCCGCCCAGUCCCAGUUUAACUUCCUUUUCCACCUACAAAGACCCUGAGGGCCAGAAAGAGGGCAGCCUCUUCCCAAGGCCUCCUUGUCUUUUUCUGCUUGAGGAAAUAGCUUGUGGUGUCUCCUUGGCUGUCUGUUUCUCCGCCUCUGGGGAAUCUCCUCUCAUGUAAAUCCUGCAAUUAGAGGCUCUCACCCCCACCACCAGAGCUACAUCUGCCUCCCUAGAUAGGCACCCACUUGAUUAGGAAGAGAUAAUCACAGGGGCUGCUUCAGCCUACAGCUUGGUGAAGACAGGAAGAAAUUCUGAUUAAAUUUGUGGUUUCAAGAGAAGGGCUCCCCCUCUCUCAUCACAUACCAGCUUCCUGUCUGCCUAUACAUUUGGACUCAAGGCGCAAAAUUUUGAUUCGUCAUUUAUUUUUUCAAAAACCAUAGAAAUUAGGCAAUAAAUAGGAAUAUACCUCUUUGGUAGAUGAAGAAUGUGAGCUGUGAGAGAUGAAGCAUUUGACUUAGGUCAUAAUGUUGAUUGCCUAGCAGAGACUUUGGAUUCGAUCACUGAUUAGUUUUAUAUCCUCCAUAAGAGAAAGCAAGAGAAAGUAAGCAAAGCAUUUUUUUCCCUUGAGAUGAUCUAAUUUUGACUUCUGUAUGGGUGUGUGUUUGUACUUAUAUAUAUUAUUAAUUCAAAUUAUAUAUUCAACUUAACUUUUAGAAACAUUAGAAAUAUGUGCAGAAUGUAAGAAAUGCAUAAAGUAGAGGAAAGCCUAAGGAAGAAGCCAAAGUCAUUCAUUAUAUCCAGAGAUACUUCCUGGUUGAUAUAUGACG
rnacentral:lncRNA from 1 species